rnacentral:rRNA from 1 species
GACGUAGGGUGCGAGCGUUGUCCGGAUUUACUGGGCGUAAAGAGCUCGUAGGCGGCUCGUCGCGUCGACCGUGAAAACCCGCGGCUUAACUGCGGGCUUGCGGUUGAUACGGGCGGGCUAGAGUUCGGUAGGGGAGACUGGAAUUCCUGGUGUAGCGGUGAAAUGCGCAGAUAUCAGGAGGAACACCGGUGGCGAAGGCAGCACUCUGGGACGUGACUGACGCUGAGACGCGAAAGCGUGGGGAGCAAACAGG